rnacentral:pre_miRNA from 1 species
CAUGCACUGGUGGGGUCCCUCGGCCUGGCCUGUGCCCUCUCAUAACCCGGGACCCCUUGGGGGAUGUCAGAGAGCCGGUUUUGGCCCGAUCCCUGCAGGCCAGGCCGAGAGACCCCACCAGUGCAUG